UACGUAGGCAGCAAGCGUUGUUCGGAGUUACUGGGCGUAAAGGGUGCGUAGGCGGUUCGUUAAGUCUGUCGUGAAAUCCCCGGGCUCAACCUGGGAAUGGCGAUGGAUACUGGCGAGCUAGAGUGUGUCAGAGGAUGGUGGAAUUCCCGGUGUAGCGGUGAAAUGCGUAGAGAUCGGGAGGAACAUCAGUGGCGAAGGCGGCCAUCUGGGACAACACUGACGCUGAAGCACGAAAGCGUGGGGAGCAAACGGG
rnacentral:rRNA from 1 species